rnacentral:rRNA from 1 species
AUUGAACGCUGGCGGCAGGCCCAACACAUGCAAGUCGAGCGGAUGAAGGGAGCUUGCUCCUGGAUUCAGCGGCGGACGGGUGAGUAAUGCCUAGGAAUCUGCCUGGUAGUGGGGGAUAACGUCCGGAAACGGGCGCUAAUACCGCAUACGUCCUGAGGGAGAAAGUGGGGGAUCUUCGGACCUCACGCUAUCAGAUGAGCCUAGGUCGGAUUAGCUAGUUGGUGGGGUAAAGGCCUACCAAGGCGACGAUCCGUAACUGGUCUGAGAGGAUGAUCGGUCACACUGGAACUGAGACACGGUCCAGACUCCUACGGGAGGCAGCAGUGGGGAAUAUUGGACAAUGGGCGAAAGCCUGAUCCAGCCAUGCCGCGUGUGUGAAGAAGGUCUUCGGAUUGUAAAGCACUUUAAGUUGGGAGGAAGGGCAGUAAGUUAAUACCUUGCUGUUUUGACGUUACCAACAGAAUAAGCACCGGCUAACUUCGUG